rnacentral:rRNA from 14 species
CUUAGAUGUUCUGGGCUGCACGCGCGCUACACUUUUU